rnacentral:rRNA from 1 species
CCUACGGGAGGCAGCAGUAGGGAAUCUUGCACAAUGGGGGAAACCCUGAUGCAGCGAUGCCGCGUGAGUGAAGAAGGCCUUUGGGUUGUAUAGCUCUUUCGUCGGGGAAGAAAAUGACUGUACCCGAAUAAGAAGGUCCGGCUAACUUCGUGCCAGCAGCCGCGGUAAUACGAAGGGACCUAGCGUAGUUCGGAAUUACUGGGCUUAAAGAGUUCGUAGGUGGUUAAAAAAGUUGGUGGUGAAAUCCCAGAGCUUAACUCUGGAACUGCCAUCAAAACUUUUUAGCUAGAGUAUGAUAGAGGAAAGCAGAAUUUCUAGUGUAGAGGUGAAAUUCGUAGAUAUUAGAAAGAAUACCAAUUGCGAAGGCAGCUUUCUGGAUCAUUACUGACACUGAGGAACGAAAGCAUGGGUAGCGAAGAGGAUUAGAUACCCUCGUAGUCCAUGCCGUAAACGAUGUGUGUUAGACGUUGGAAAUUUAUUUUCUGUGUCGCAGCGAAAGCAAUAAACACACCGCCUGGGGAGUACGACCGCAAGGUUAAAACUCAAAUGAAUUGACGGA